UACGUAGGGUGCAAGCGUUGUCCGGAAUUAUUGGGCGUAAAGAGCUCGUAGGCGGUCUGUCGCGUCGGCUGUGAAAACCCGGGGCUCAACCCCGGGCCUGCAGUCGAUACGGGCAGACUAGAGUGCGGUAGGGGAGACUGGAAUUCCUGGUGUAGCGGUGAAAUGCGUAGAUAUCGGGAGGAACACCAGUGGCGAAGGCGACUUCCUGGCCUGUUCUUGACGCUGAGGCGCGAAAGCUAGGGGAGCAGACGGG
rnacentral:rRNA from 1 species